AUUGUCCAAUCCCUUCCUCGCCUCAGUCUCGUGCCAACUGCCGCCCAAACCCUAGCCCCUGUUUCCCUCGAUCCCCACAGCCUCUCCCGCCUCCUACAUCCUUCAUCCUCCCAUCACCACAUCCUCUGCCAUGGAGCCUCGCCACCGCGUGCUACUCCUCCACCACGCUGCCCUUCCACCUCGCCAUCCUUCUCCUCUUUGUCUAUGCGGCCGUCGGUGGCGCCUGGUUCCAAAUCCAGCACAGGUUAGCCCAGUCGGCUGAUGGUGAGGUGAAGGAGCAGGGUAGGUGACCCGUCGCGAUGGGAUGAGGCUACAAGGAAGAGGGUCAUGUCGCAUGGUGGCCCAGAUGCGGCCGCCCCAUGGCCAGCCUCGACGAGCACGGCCUCGAUCCGGCCUCAGCCGGAGGACCUCGAGCCGAGGAGUGCUGCCUCGAUCGGGACUCGACAUCUGGGGCGACAACGGAGGAGGAUGGGAAAGGAGGGGAGCAGCAGCUAGCACUCGGGCAGCGGCGGCUGGACUCCAUGAGCUGGCCGAGGUGCUUCACGUCAAGGAAGCAGCUGACAGUGCAAGCUGACCUGCUGAUGUUGCUGUUGUGCUGGUCAGGGAUUGAGUCCACUGACAUACGGACACAAGAGAUAUUCAGUUAUGAGGAUUAGGAUAUUAUUGAUCGUUCAGUCAUUGAGGAUUCGAAAAGAGGCAUCAAUGCUCUAGUAGAGGUGGUAUUGAAGUUGUGGCUGUCAAUAGUCCUUUUAUUGAUGCUAACUACAUGGCCUAUAUGUUCAAGUAUGACUCCACUGAUGGCCCCUUCAAAGGAUCCAUUAAGGUCAUGGAUGAUUCAAUACUGGAGAUUAAUGCGAAAAAAAUCACAACCACAAGCAAAAGGUAAAUAUGCCAGGGUUAGCUGAUUGUUUUCCAUAUUAGUGCGGUUGAUAUAGAUGCCAUGGUUUCUAAACAUGCAUUACAUGUUGUCCUGAAAUAAGGACGUGUGAAGCAAUGAAGUAGCCAAAGUAACAUUAUUACUUAAUAAUCGAUUCAUAGUUUAGAGCCCCAUGUUUUUCGCACAUUCAUACGGACAUAUAAUAGCUUACAAGUGCACGCUUGUUGUACAUCUCGAGUACUGGAUGUUCCUUCUCUUAUUUUUGAUUCUGAUGUUCAUAUGUUGAUUUUCUGCGAUGGAGGUAAAGGAGAAGUCUGAAUGUGCCAACAAGUAGCAACCAGUGAGCUGUCGUCUAUGAUUGGCUAGGGGAGGAGUUGUCUUGCGCUGCAAGGGCAUCUUGCAGUUCGAUUUCCUUGGUUUGAUGUAUUUUCGGUUCUGAUUAGUCUUUGAUUUCACACAUUUGUUUGGAUGUUUUCUUUGCACCAAGCACCAUGCUUUUGAUCACUGUUGCCUUGGGUUUUGGCAUCGAAGCACCACCAUGUAUGGCUAGCCUUCCAUGGCUACAUCGAGGGUCCCAAUCUGCAGGACCCCAUGCAGCGUGCAUUGGACAGUGUUGUGGAGGGUCCAAUUUCCUCAUGAUUUAAGAAGCUCUAUGUAGUACCAAACUUAAUUUGAGAACACUGGCGCCGAGGAUGUGCUACUCUGUCUUGGGGCUCAGCGCCCUCUUGGACGCACAGGUUGGUGCGCUCUCCCUCUGCACCGGGGUUCUGAUGGCCGCGCUUUGUCUGGCAGCGCUAGAAAAUGGCAAGAAGGAAGAGCUCGGGCCACCCGCAAUGCCAGGCCGCUGGCCCUCCUCCCUCGAGCUCAAGGCGGCGAAGAGAUGGUUGAGAUGGUGUUGCAGCUUCGCAGCGGCGAUACAUGAAGGUGCAAGGCAGCAGCGACAUGUUCCUAGUACGCUAGAGGAUGAGCUCCUACUUUUUCUGAUGCUAGCUCCUUGAUGCAGAUAUACAAGCCUUCUUUCAUCUCCGAAUAUCUCCUCCUGGUCAAGGCAAUUGCACAUGAUGAAGACCCUCAUUUUAGAUCAGUUCAUGGCAUAUGUGUCUAUUUCCUUUAGAUGGUUCUUCUAUGCAACGAUUGGAAAAUAUAAUGUUUCUCAUGUGAUAUUGCAAUCAGGACAAAAAAACAGAACGAUUAAUUUUCACAAUUUGAUAUUUCAUAUUUUCUAGAAGUACGACCACCUUCUGCACAGUACCCUUGCAUUUGUGUUCUUAUCAAAUACGUUUCUUUCUGCAGAAUUUGUUCAGGUUUUGUCUCGCUCACACCUCAAGAUGCGAGUUUGGGAGUGCGGUGCUGGUAUAACUGAUAUCCCUUUGAUCUUCGUUAAAUUUUGUAGGAUGUGCAUUGUGCUUGAGCAUGAGGAAUCCUUUCCCUCCCUGCAUUAUCUUUAUAUGUUAUAAAAAUGUUACACGUGUCUUGGUCCUCCAAAAGAUUAUUGGCCCAUAAUGUUAAUAACUCUUAUGUAUGAUGAUUGAGUAAGAUAUCCUUUUAUGUCCAGGCAUUUCUUUCAUGUAGUGGAUAUACAAAAUAAACUGUAUGAUCUAGACGGUAGGAGCAACUGGUGCUUGUGGGACUGGUGCUUGCAGUUGUUGUGCAGCUGUUCUUGAGGACCGAGCUGAAUGUAUCUGAGAGAGGUCUUUGCUUCAUUUUCUUCUUUCGAUGGGAUAAUGACUUGUCGUUUCAAAACACUUAGUAUGUGAUCUAUCCAUCAAAUUAUAAUAUAAUAAUUCAGCAAAACCCCUUUAUUUGAACGAGCAAGAAUCUAUGGUGUGCUCCUGAGCUAUGUUCCCCUUUUCAAAAUGUUAGAAAGGCUAUCUUAACUUAGUCGUUGCAUAGAAAUUGGUUUUGGCUAUUAGGCUCAUUUCAUAUCUGCAUCACUUAUUUGAACGACAAUGAGCACUCCACAACUGAACUCACAUAAGAGGGCUGAUAGAUGAUAUCUUGUCUGCUAAGUGAUUACCUAGAAUACUGGACUUUCCACCAAGGGACAGACCCAGUGCAUAGAAGCUCCCACACAAGGUGGGGUCUGGGGAGGGAUUAUAGGAACCUAGUCUUACCCCUGCAAAGUGCAAUGCAGAGAGGCUGGUUCGAACCCAGGACCUCUUGGCACAAGUGGGGAGGACUUCACCACUGCGCCAGGCCUGCCCUCAGAAUACUGGACUUUCCACCAACUUACAAAAAUAUUUUUUGCAGGUAUAUUUCCUUUAUCACUCCCCCAGCAGAUAUGAGUUCUCGUGGCGGGGUCUUUCAUGUCGUCAUGUUAAGAAUUUAUUAUUGUAUUGCAUAUGAGGUCCUUCUUCAGGUUUCCACUUGUUUCUUACUUAAGUUAGCUGUCCAUUCUGGAUUUAACGUGAAUAUUGCCUUUGUAUUCCAUAUGAAAUUCUACUAUUUGUUUUAGCUUCUGUAGUUUUCUAUUCAUUAUCCCUAGACAUUAUCAUGUGUGUGUCAAUAGGCUUCGUGGAUGGCGAGGUUUAAUAUCGCUUGCUUGUCGCCUUCUCUGCCCUCGACAUGCGGAAGGCCAAUAAAGGCGGGGACGAGUCACGGAUCCGGCUGGCGAUGGUACUGGUUCUAGACGAGAUUUAAGCAAAGGAAUCGCAAAAGAUGUUCUCUUUCCAAGAUUUUCAUAUCAUAUUUGUCGUGGGAUCUGACUGCUUUACCAUAUUUUCCUGGUGUGGAUGAUGUUAUAGAGUGAGCUACCAUCACUUCUCAUUAUUGAUUGUAAUCAAUAUAUAUGUGUUUAUUCCAUAAAAGAUGGAUAUUUGUCGAAGCCAUUGCCAUAUCAUGUAAUUACUUGCAGAUCAACUAUAUAGUUUUGUUCAGAUUGUAAAGUGGAAACGAUAAAAUCCUACAACUCCUGUGUGAAUGUCAUUUGAUUAUUUACUUCCUCAAGUAGUAUGGAUAUGGUACUGCCAGGAUAUUAAGUAUAUUCAUGAAGUUGUAUAAACCACGUUCUACGAUUCACUGAUUCACUUCUGUUAUGCAUAUUUACUUUCCAGUUUUAGGACUAAAAUCCAUCCAUUGUAAUGAAUUUGGUUGUAUGGGCAUUACCUAUUUGACUUAGGCUUGCUUCAUCACAUAUAGACUGUUUUUCUUUUCCCCGCUGCUUGUAUGACCUAAAACUAUCAUGUAUAUGAGGCAAGUUAUUAGCAAUGUUUCACAUUUUCUUACU